UGGACUAAACGUGUACUGUACCACACUCUAAAAUACAGUUACACAACGCCUUGCAUUUAUUUCGGGAUCGUGACUGGUGCCUACACUUCUAAAAAUAACAGAAUUUGAUUGCAUUGUUGAAAGCUGAACUUUAUCACAACAAAAGCCUAAGCAUCUUGUGACAACCAGCCAUAAAAUUAAUAAAAGCUAUACUGUAUGGGACACUUACUGCUAUACCCGAACUUGCAGGAGCUUUUUAAAUAUAACAUCAUCUCCUUAUCACAAUAAUCAUAGACGACCAGAAUGGUCAGAGUAUGGGCUUUGUCAAACCACAUCCCUGCUCCAUACAUAGUCUCUUAGCUGGCGUGUGCCUCAAUUCCCUAAUCCACAAAAUAGGGAUCUUUCUCUGAUGCUGUGAGGAUUUAGAGAGUAAUACAAAUAAAACAUUUAACACAAUGCCUGGAGCAUAGCAAUCGACCCAUUAACAUUAGCAAUAAUAAUAAUAUGAUGAUGAUGAUUUAUUGAGCCCUAGCUCUUUACAUGUACUCCUGAACUUCGCCCCUAUUUUCAUUAUCUCCUUUUUUCGACAGGGAACUGAGAAGUUAAAGAGCUUAAGCCAGGUAAAAGCAGAGCCCUGACUCCAGAGCCUUCACUCUCGCUGAGCCCCUGUGUUUGAAGAUGUCUGUAAGGGACUAUCACCUCAUUACCUAAAGACCCAGCAAGGCCACCGUGGGGAGCAUCCCAAGGAAAGAGUGCCCACCUGGCCAGUUCUCUCCACUGACAAGACCCACUGGUGCAGGGAAUGGCUUGGUACGCAUGCGGAGGACUCAGAAAACGGAUCUGAGUGGUAGAGAGCGGUUCCCAGCAGGUAAGAGUAAUUUCGUUCGAAAGUCUGGUAAUAUUGCUAGAACGGCAAGAGGGGGUUCUGCGAAGGGAAGCGAGGAGUGGGGCGGGUCGGUGCGGCCAUUUGCUGAGGUAGGGACCAGGCAGGCGCAGUGCGCCCUGGCCCACCUCCCCGCUCCAAGUUAAACGGGAUCAUCUGUGUCAGGCACGAGGCGGGAGAGAGAAGCUACUUCAGCGGAAGCCGGCUGAGCUGCAGGCUCCGGAGAUCUCACUCAGCGUGGAGCUGGCACCGGGAAGCGCGCAGGAAGGGCUCUUUAUUCACUAGGUAAGUGAGUGAAACGGCACGGCGUCAGGUCCGCGCGCAGAGCCAGUCACGGACAGUAGACGAACACGACCCCCGCUGCAGAACUAGGGGGAGGGGCGGACGAUCUGAGGUCCGCAGGACGCCCCGGAACGUCGCGGGGACGGGCGUUCUUAGGCCCUCGGGCCUCCCAGAACGGGGAAAGAAGAACCGGGCUCCGCCGCAGUAGAUACCGAAGGGGAACGCGGAGUCCUCAGCCGC